ensembl:snRNA U6 U6 spliceosomal RNA
GUGCUUCAGCAAGCACAUGUACGAAAACUGGAACGAUACAGAGAAGAUUAGUGUGGCCCCUGCAUGAGGAUGAUGUGCAAAUUCAUGAAAUGUCCAUAUUUUUC